GCCUAAAGCGUCCGUAGCCGGCUCUGUAAGUUUUCGGUUAAAUCCAUAUGCUCAACAUAUGGGCCGCCGGGAAUACUGCAUAGCUAGGGAGUGGGAGAGGUAGACGGUACUCCGUAGGAAGGGGUAAAAUCCUUUGAUCUAUGGAUGACCACCUGUGGCGAAGGCGGUCUACCAGAACACGUUCGACGGUGAGGGAUGAAAGCUGGGGGAGCAAACCGGAUUAGAUACCCGGGUAGUCCCAGCUGUAAACUAUGCAAACUCAGUGAUGCAUUGGCUUGUGGCCAGUGCAGUGCCGCAGAGAAGUCGUUAAGUUUGCCGCCUGGGAAGUACGUACGCAAGUAUGAAACUUAAAGGAAUUGGCGGGGGAGCACCACAAGGGGUGAAGCCUGCGGUUCAAUUGGAGUCAACGCCAGAAAUCUUACCCGGAGAGACAGCAGGAUGAAGGUCAAGUUGAAGCCUUUACCAGACAAGCUGAGAAGUGGUGCAUGGCCGUCGCCAGCUCGUGCCGUGAGGUGUCCUGUUAAGUCAGGUAACGAGCGAGAUCCUUGCCUCUAGUUGCCACCAUUACCCUCAGGAGUAGUGGGGCGAAUUAGCGGGACUGCCGUAGUUAAUACGGAGGAAGGAGAGGGCCACGGCAGGUCAGUAUGCCCCGAA
rnacentral:rRNA from 1 species